GGGGCCGUAGCUCAGCUGGAUAGAGCACCUGACUUUUAAUCAGGGUGUCGUGGGUUCGAAUCCCAUCGGCCUCA
rnacentral:tRNA from 1 species